UCGAGCGGCAGCGCGGGGGCAACCCUGGCGGCGAGCGGCGGACGGGUGAGGAAUGCGUCGGAAUCUGCCUUUUUGUGGGGGAUAACGUAGGGAAACUUACGCUAAUACCGCAUACGACCUACGGGUGAAAGUGGGGGACCGCAAGGCCUCACGCAGAAAGAUGAGCCGACGCCGGAUUAGCUAGUUGGCGGGGUAAAGGCCCACCAAGGCGACGAUCCGUAGCUGGUCUGAGAGGAUGAUCAGCCACACUGGAACUGAGACACGGUCCAGACUCCUACGGGAGGCAGCAGUGGGGAAUAUUGGACAAUGGGCGCAAGCCUGAUCCAGCCAUGCCGCGUGUGUGAAGAAGGCCUUCGGGUUGUAAAGCACUUUUGUCCGGAAAGAAAAGCAUUCGGUUAAUAACCGAGUGUCAUGACGGUACCGGAAGAAUAAGCACCGGCUAACUUCGUGCCAGCAGCCGCGGUAAUACGAAGGGUGCAAGCGUUA
rnacentral:rRNA from 1 species